UCCAGGCAGAGGCGCUGUUGACACCCAGGCCUGAGUAGUUGCCUCAGAGCCCAUCGAUGCUGUUGGUCGAUCUUCGAGUAGAGGAUGAUGUUAUGCUUCAGAAGUGAGGACCUGUCCAAGGAUUCGAAGCCUACAGCGAGCAUGCCCAAGCAUGGAUGUGAAGGUUGCUGACUCUUUCUGCACUGCAGUGUGUUCAAGAAGGAGGGUCAAGGAUGCUUUAUAGAUCUGACUGGUCACGUGAGAUGUCUUAGUGAGAACAGUGGAUUUGAUGGAGAAGUAGAGAAGUCUAUUCACAGAGCAGAAUAAAAUUUUCUCAUCCAUCUUUGUAACCCUCCUGCUUGACCCUGCCUGCCUCUCAUAAGCACACCUCUCUGCCCACCUCUUGCUA